GGUGCCUCUGUCAGACUCCUCCCCCUCCAGCUUGGCUCCACUCUGCUCCUGAUUAUUCUCCAGCUGCCGUUACUCAACUCAUCAACCUCUGCUGCUUAAAAGGAGACCCAACGCCAAUAAUCAGCGCCAGAUCGUUGCCCAUUAUGGAAUCCUGUCCAAGAGUGACGUCAGCACAGUCUCCAGCCUGCUGUCAGGAAGGAUCAGAGAACUGCCGCGUCCGCACCUCCAGCCGUGCCACAGACUAUCCAUCUGGAUCACCUCUCACCAACCCUCUUUGCCAGCCUCAAAGAAAAUAAUAAACCCUUCUUACCUGCCA